rnacentral:rRNA from 1 species
UUAAACUGAAGAGUUUGAUCCUGGCUCAGAUUGAACGCUGGCGGCAUGCCUUACACAUGCAAGUCGAAC